UUUCAAAUGUUUGUCUAUGACACUGACUAUUGUGAUUUUGUUGUUAUGACAAGUCCAAAUGAUGUUAUCUUGCUUGCUAUUGUUAGAAUUUGCAGGGAUCCUGAGUUUUGUAAUACUUUAAUAAGUAAGUGCACUUACUUUGUUAAAGAGCUAUUAAUCCCAGAGCUACUUACAAGGAAAUUGUUACAUGAUUAUAAAGUAGCAAACACUUCAGUCAAUGAUGUCACAAAAGAGAAAUAUUGCUUGUGUGAAGAACCAGAAUAUGGCAAGAUGAUUUUCUGUGAUGGAGACUCGUGUGAUAUUGGAUGGUACAAUUAUCAAUGUGUUAAUAUUGUAAGGAAACCAAGGGGAAAGUGGCUUUGUCCAAAAUGUAAAAAAUAAUUUGUAGAAGUAGUGAGCAGCAAACAUUUUUACAAUAUAUUUAUAACAAAACCUAUUCUUGAAGCAUGGACAAUUCUUUGUGUACCUCUUAAGGGCAUACUAUACAGUUACAGGGGAGGUAAUGACGUUGCUAACAUAACAUGUUAUUUUCGCGACGUCAAACUAUGACAUAUUGGGGAAAAAUGCAGAAAAAGAAAAUACGGACACAAAUCUGAAUUUUUAGCAAAUAUACAAAAUUUUGCUCUCAUUUUACUCAAAAAAUAGCACAUGAAGGUAUAUUUUUUAUUACAUAUUUGAUUUAAUCAGGUACAAAAUAGCCUAUAUAGCAAAUUUUCAUCAAUCUGUAAAUACAGGUUCAAACCUGUAUCGUAUGCCCUUAAUAGCUGAAUACAUUUUUUUUAAACAAUUUCAGUUGAGGAUUCUUUGUUUCAU
rnacentral:lncRNA from 1 species